CCUGAAGCCAGUGUAAUUUGAACAGACUGAACUAUAAUUUUAGUAGCAAUGGCCUUUUAAAAGGAAUUGAUUCAUCCUUCCUCUUGCCCUCAAGUUGACUUCCAGUGCAGUGACUCUGAAAUGCCAUAAUUUAUUGAGACUGCCAAUGUGGUCCAUUAAAUUGGUCUGUGCCAACCAGUCUGCUAAUGACCCCAAGCCUUGUUUGCUGUUUUUAAUGAUUGUUUCAAAUAGUGUUUGAUAGUCUUUCAAUGAUCACAACAUUGUCCCUUUGUUCUUCUUGCAGCAGCCAGUUGUGUUUGUCCUCUGUGUGGUGCUUUCCUCCAGUGUAUAUUAUGAAUUGAUGGAAGAUGGUUACCAUUUUGUGGAGCAGGAAAGGGGAAUAAACUAUCUCUGGUACUCAUCUUUUAAGCAUAAUCAUGUGAUAUAUAUCUAUAUUCAUCACCUAGGUUCUCCAAAAGAUAGGCUGUAAAUAUUUUUACAUGGAAGAAUGAACACUUCAAAUCAGCUGUUGAAAUGAGGAUCAGUGUUUGGGAGACAUCAGUUGACUGGGUGACACCUUGGGCAACAGUUGCAGUUGUAUGGACACAGCACAGAAAGAGCUUACAUGGUUUAAAACUUACAGAAAAAGAGAUGAAAUUUUCAAGCCUCCCAAAUUUUUGUUGCAUACUACUCCAAUUAUGAAAGCAAUGAGACGUUUUGGAGGAUACAGUGUUCCUGAUUCAAGAACUCAGGCUCCAAGCUGCCUCUUCUGUCAGAAGCCGGGAUUUUGUGCACCUUCAUCUGCUGUUGCCAGAAGUCCCAAGAAGUUUUGGAGAUAGUUCUGGAACAAUUAGAAUCAUGGGUAGUAAUUAAACAGGAAAUAGCAAAACCAGUGACUGAAUGGGGUAGCAUACACCUUUGUGACUGAUCAUAAUGACAGCACCUAAUCAGACCAUAGCUGGAACCCAUCUGAAAUCACCUUCCCAUACUGGCCACUGAAGAUGUCCUCCUACCACUUCUGCUGUAGCAGAUACACAGUUCAAGGGAUUGGGAAGGCGAUACGGCUUCUGGUAUCUUCUCUGUAUGGCUACUUUACACAUUCUUCUCAUUAGGGACAUAAUCUUCUUCAGCCAUGACUCAGUAAAUAAUGACAAAUACAUGAGUUAACAAACUCAAUAAUGACACUGAUUUGCUAAUAUUCUUGUUGUAAUUAGGAUGUUACAUUCUCUCCAAAACUGCAUCUUACUAUAAAUAUUCCUUCCUUUGUCAUCUUAAGAUAAGACACCUGCAGUGGACUGUAAACAGAAUCAACUAUUGAUGCAUCUGAAAAAGAUCCAGAUAACACUCAAGAGAAAAAAGUCAAUUCCAGAGACACUUGAUCACAAGCUAUUGUAACUGGGUAAGUAAAAGUAAAUUGAAGAACAUGUAUUUGUAGGUACUGAAUAUUUAUAACACUUUUAUUGUAAUAGCAUAUUCCCUUUAAAACAUAUAAACCUAUCAUUAAUGAUUAAAGUGGUAAUCCCUGUUUUCAUUAAAAAGAGGCACUUUUUUCAUUAAAAACAGUCUUGCUAAUUUUACUUUUUCCAAUAAAUGUUUGAAAAUGUGAGUCA
rnacentral:lncRNA from 1 species